UGAUUUGGCUAUGAAAUAAGAGGAAUUAUAUAUAUAUAUAGAGUUGAGCUAGAAUACUCUCGAUAGUAAACGGGGCGUUUUACUAUCGAGUUGUUUUCGAUGAUAGAGCUUCCAAAUUGACGAUCGGCUCCGUUGAACAUGAUGUAUACCACUUGAAGUGUUUAGAAAUCAAAUUUCAAAUCUUUUCGACAUCAUUUGCCUAAUGAUCAAAGGGUUUCAAAAUUUGUAAUUUUAAUGGUGGAUAAGAGACGUUUUCUCGUUUAACGGUGUAAAGAUAUCCAAAUCAAUUGAAUUUUUGUUAGAAAAUUCUUUAAACUAUUUAAAACAAGAUCAAUAUCU
rnacentral:lncRNA from 1 species